UACGUAGGGGACUAGCGUUGUUCGGAAUUACUGGGCGUAAAGCGCACGUAGGCGGAUUUGUAAGUCAGGGGUGAAAUCCCCAGGCUCAACCUGGGAACUGCGUCUGAUACUGGUUGGCUUGAAUCCGGGAGAGGGAUGCAGAAUUCCAGGUGUAGCGGUGAAAUGCGUAGAUAUCUGGAGGAAUACCGGUGGCGAAGGCGGCAUCCUGGACCGGCAUUGACGCUGAGGAGCGAAAGCUAGGGGAGCAAACGGG
rnacentral:rRNA from 1 species